UAAAGAUGAUGCUUCCACAGCACAUAUAGCUUUGCUCGCCUGGCACUAAACUAAACCACACCAGGGGCAGUGCUUCAGCCGGGGACGCACAACACCAAUGGCACUUUAACACCAUUUUUAUGGGGAUAAAGUAGCAUUUAGAAAUCAAAUGCUUAAACCACAUAGUAAUAUACAGCUAUUUCUGAAGCUUAGUGUGUCAAAGUAAUGGACAGUGUCACUGUUCUUUCAGGUUUCAAAUCAAACGUGUUGGUAGGUGCUGGUUGAAACAUUUUGAGUAGGUUUGCAGAAAAUAUGCACUGAUCUUAGUCCAAGACUUAAAGCUAAAUUCCUCAAAGGGGAAAAAUAGUCUAAAACUAGGUUUAAUCCAACUUAAAGUGAGUAAAUAAUUACCAGAUUACAUCUUGGAGGAUCUCUUCAUGUAGAGUAAGGGUAACUGUUUGUGGUGCUUAAUGAGUGGGGUAGAGUGCACAUAACAUUUAUUCUUUUUUUUUUUUCUAGAGUGGUUUUGCAUCGACUCUUUAAGGUUAGGUAUUUGAAUAUGAAAAUCUGUUUCAGGCAACGUUAAAAUUAAAUCCUGUAUUCUUGAAAAUGUCAUUUUAGUGCUCAGCAAAGAUGAAAAUGCAACAAUAUAAUUUGCGUGUUUAAUUUUCACACCUCUUUAUGAAUAUUUUAUGUAUCUUAAAGUUAAAAAGGUAUAAUCUUUGAAGUUAUAAGCUGCCAUACUUUGGGAAAUAUUCAGAUGUUUUGUCAAUUUAAAAAGAAAUUAAAAUACAGUGGUGCAAUUUCAUUCACCUUUUUUGCAAGCAGAUGCAGUUUCUAACUGUUUCACUAUGGAAAUGCUUGCUGAAUGUUUAAUAAAUUGCAUUGUGUGUAUGUAUACCAUUUAACUUUCCAUUUUAAUAUUUGAAUAUCGUUUCUAAAACUAUUUGAAAAUAAAGUGUAAACAGCUUCUCCUGUUUCAUGUAAUAUGGAUACAGAAUAAUGGCGAUUAUUGCAUUUUCUUUUUUUUAAAUAACACACGUUAAUGUGGAAAUACAGGUGUGGCAUUUCAUUUUCUUUUUUUGUUUAUUAUGGUCCUGCAUGGCUUCCAUAUCUGACA
ensembl:lncRNA